CGGGCUCCUCGCGCCUGCGCGGCCGGGUCCCCGGGCCCGCCGUGAGGAGAGUGAAGUGGUGGAGAGGGACGCUCGUGCCACCCCGGGUCCUCCUACCGUCUCUAUCAUGGUAACCCCUUCUCUGCCGCUGCACCUCCCAGUGGCCCGAGUCCAGGUGCCUUAGUUACUGGACAGAGACCCCGGGUUCCUUAGUUACUGGACAGAGAGUGCUGCGCUUCAGGUGCCAUGGCCUCAGUUUCCUCCUUUCUGAAGUGAUGAAAAUACAUUGUGCGCCUCCAAGUGCUUCACACGCACUAGGUCCUAGUCCUAACUAGGGCCUCAUGGUAGGUCCUAUCCCUAUGUUGCAGGUGAGGAGUCAAAUCACCUACCAAAAGUCACACACCCGGAAUGCCAGAGCCUCGGCCCGAACCCAUGGAGUUUGGCUCUAAAUUCGUGUAUUUAACCCUUGACUGUACACACUGCCUCGUGUCAUAGCCCUGAGAAUCCACUACUUCCCCCGCGUUAGUACAAAAUCACUCUUGGGAUGCUGCUUCCCAUCGAUGGAUUCUGUUUUCCACUCCUCUUGGCAUCUAAGUGUGGCCUUGUGAUUGGUUCUCACCAAUGGGAUGGGAUGGAAGCGAUACAGGCCUCUUCCGAGCCAAUGCUCUUAAGAAACAUGUAUGUUGGCCAGGCACGGUGGCUCACGCCUAUAAUCACAGCACUUUGGGAGGCCGAGACGGGAGGAUCAGCUGAGUCCAGGAGUUCGAGACCAGCCUGGCCAACAUGGCGAAACUCCAUCUCUACUAAAAGUACAAAAAUUAGCCAGGCGUGGUGGGCGCUUAUAAUCCCAGCUACUCCGGAGGCUGAGGCAGGAGAAUUGCUUGAACCUAGGAGGCAAAGGUUGCAGUGAGCCGAGAUCCCACCACUGCACUUCAGUAUGGGCAAAAGAGUGAGACUCCAUCUCAAAAAAAAAAAAGAAACAUCUGCCUGCUUCCUGCUCUUUCAAGGCCCUAAAGAAAGAGGGGAGCCCCAAGAAACCUGGGUCCCUGAAUGACCACCUUGUGGAAAUACAUCCUGUCACCUAACAUCUAUCCUAGAUUGCUACAUGAUCAAGAAAUACACAUCUAACUUGUACACCCAAUGCUCAUAGCAGCAUUAUUCACAAUAGCCAAGAGGUGGAAGCAACCCAGUGUCCAUUGACAGAUGAGCGAAUAAACAAAAUGUGGCACAUAAAUGCAAUGGAAUAGACCAGACGCGGUGGCUCACAUCUGUAAUCCCAGCACUUUGGGAGGCCAAGGCGGGCGAAUCACCUGAGGUCAAGAGUUUGAAACCAGCCUGGCCAACAUAGUGAAACCCUGUCUCUACUAAAAAUACAAAAAAUUAGCCAGGCGUGGUGGCGGGCGCCUGUAGUCCCAGCUACUUGGGAGGCUGAGGCAGGAGAAUCACUUGAACCCAGAGGCGCAGGCUGCAUUGAGCCAAGAUCAUGCC
rnacentral:lncRNA from 1 species